rnacentral:rRNA from 1 species
CUCCGGUUGAUCCCGCCGGACCCGACUGCUAUCAGAGUGGGACUGAGCCAUGCGAGUCGACGUAGCAAUGCGUGGCGAACGGCUCAGUAACACGUAGUCAACAUGCCCAGGGGACGUGGAUAACCUCGGGAAACUGAGAAUAAACCACGAUAGGUCACGAUUUCUGGAAUGGAUCAUGGCCUAAAUCUACAUGGCCCCUGGAUUGGACUGCGGCCGAUCAGGCUGUUGGUGAGGUAAUGGCCCACCAAACCUAUAACCGGUACGGGCUCUGAGAGGAGAAGCCCGGAGAUGGGCACUGAGACAAGGACCCAGGCCCUAUGGGGCGCAGCAGGCGCGAAACCUCUGCAAUAGGCGAAAGCCUGACAGGGUUACUCUGAGUGAUUUCCGCUAAGGGGAUCUUUUGGCACCUCUAAAAAUGGUGCAGAAUAAGGGGUGGGCAAGUCUGGUGUCAGCCGCCGCGGUAAUACCAGCACCCCGAGUGGUCGGGACGAUUAUUGGGCCUAAAGCAUCCGUAGCCGGUUCUGCAAGUCUUCCGUUAAAUCCAGCCGCUCAACGGAUGGGCCGCGGAGGAUACUACAGGACUAGGAGGCGGGAGAGGCAAGCGGUACUCAGUGGGUAGGGGUAAAAUCCUUUGAUCCAUUGAAGACCACCAGUGGCGAAGGCGGCUUGCCAGAACGCGCUCGACGGUGAGGGAUGAAAGCUGGGGGAGCAAACCGGAUUAGAUACCCGGGUAGUCCCAGCUGUAAACGAUGCAGACUCGGUGAUGGGCUAGCCUUGUGCCAGCCCAGUGCCGCAGGGAAGCCGUUAAGUCUGCCGCCUGGGGAGUACGGUCGCAAGACUGAAACUUAAAGAAUUGGCGGGGGAGCA